GUGGUACAAUGGAUCACAGUGCCUGGCUGUUAACCAGGAGGUUGGUGGUUCAAGCCCACCAACU